rnacentral:rRNA from 1 species
AUACGGAAGGUCCGGGCGUUAUCCGGAUUUAUUGGGUUUAAAGGGAGCGCAGGCGGAGAUGCAAGCGUGACGUCAAAUUUCGGGGCUCAACCCCGUCUCGCGUCGCGAACUGCGUCCCUUGGUUGCGGGAAGGGGAGGCGGAACUCGUGGUGUAGCGGUGAAAUGCAUAGAUAUCACGAAGAACUCCGAUCGCGAAGGCAGCCUCCCGGCCCGUCAACGACGCUCAUGCUCGAAGGUGCGGGUAUCAAACAGGAUUAGAUACCCUGGUAGUCCGCACAGUAAACGAUGGACGCCCGCGGUUUGGCCUAUAUGGCUGAGCCGCCAAGCGAAGGCGUUAAGUGUCCCACCUGGGGAGUACGCCGGCAACGGUGAAACUCAAAUGAAUUGACGGGG